GAAACGUGUUUAUAGUAUGAAGUGGAUGAACAAACAUUUGUAUUUAUCUAUAAGAUUAUGGCGUGUGCAGACUCUACUAUGCAAUGCAUCUUUCAAUAUGUUUAUUAACUGGGUGAUACAUUUGAUAUGUUAAAUCUCGUGAAGUUGCAUUACUCAGCUAUUUGCAUCAGAAACUGGGUUCAGGAUAUAAUUGAUUAUAUUUACUUUGUUGGUUUUUUAACUAUAGUUUAG